UCCGUGGUCUAGUGGUUAGAGCGUCGACCUUGGAAGUGGGAGGUCGCUGGUUCGAAACCGAGCCGAAUCAU